rnacentral:rRNA from 1 species
AUACGGAGGGUGCGAGCGUUAUCCGGAUUUAUUAGGUUUAAAGGGUGUGUAGGCGGGAGCCUAAGUCAGUGGUGAAAUCUCACAGCUUAACUGUGAAACUGCCAUUGAAACUGGGUUUCUUGAGUAUAGUUGAGGUAGGCGGAAUGUGUAAUGUAGCGGUGAAAUGCAUAGGUAUUACACAGAACACCGAUUGCGAAGGCAGCUUACUAAGCUAUUACUGACGCUGAUGCACGAAAGCGUGGGUAGCGAACAGGAUUAGAAACCCCAGUAGUCC